rnacentral:snoRNA from 1 species
AACUACCACAUUUACCAAUGAGCCCUAAGCAUUGGUCUGAGUGGUUCCAAAAGGAGGAAAAGUAAAAGUGAAGCUAACUUAAAUUCUUUUGUGAUAUGCAAGCUAGUUUCCAACAACA